CUUAAAUUGAAGAGUUUGAUCAUGGCUCAGAUUGAACGCUGGCGGCAGGCCUAACACAUGCAAGUCGAGCGGAAACGAGUUAUCUGAA
rnacentral:rRNA from 1 species